rnacentral:misc_RNA from 1 species
UCCGAGUUGACCCCGGCAGUCUCCCAUGAGUCCCCGGCAUUACCCGCUGGCAACAUGGAACGAGGGUUGCGCUCGUUGCGGGACUUAACCCAACAUCUCACGACACGAGCCGACGACAGCCAUGCAGCACCUGUCACUCAUCCAGCCGAACUGAAGGGAUCCAUCUCUGGAACCCGCGACCGGGAUGUCAAACGCUGGUAAGGUUCUGCGCGUUGCUUCGAAUUAAACCACAUGCUCCACCGCUUGUGCAGGCCCCCGUCAAUUUCUUUGAGUUUUAACCUUGCGGCCGUACUCCCCAGGCGGAUGACUUAAUGCGUUAGCUGCGCCACCGAAGGCCGAAGGCCCCCGACAGCUAGUCACCAUCGUUUACGGCGUGGACUAC